rnacentral:rRNA from 1 species
UUGGAGGGCAAGUCUGGUGCCAGCAGCCGCGGUAAUUCCAGCUCCAAUAGCGUAUAUUAAAGUUGUUGCAGUUAAGAAGCUCGUAGUUGAAUUUCGGGAUCAAUAUUUCGGUCAUGCCGUUGGUAUGCACUGUUAUCAUUGAUUUCUCACCUUCUAAAGAACCGUAAUGCCGUUAAUUUGGUGUUACGGGGAAUUAGGACUGUUACCUUGAAAAAAUUAGAGUGUUUAAAGCAGGCUCACGCUUGAAUACAUUAGCAUGGAAUAAUGAAAUAGGACAUCCGAUUCUAUUUUGUUGGUUUCUAGGAUCGAUGUAAUGAUUAAUAGGGAUAGUUGGGGGCAUUAGUAUUCAAUUGUCAGAGGUGAAAUUCUUGGAUUUAUUGAAGACUAACUACUGCGAAAGCAUUUGCCAAGGAUGUUUUCAUUAAUCAAGAACGAAAGUUAGGGGAUCGAAGACGAUCAGAUACCGUCGUAGUCUUAACCAUAAACUAUGCCGACUAGGGAUCGGAUGAUGUUAAUUUUUUAAUGACUCAUUCGGCGCCUUACGGGAAACCAAAGUGUUUGGGUUC